rnacentral:rRNA from 1 species
CCUACGGGAGGCAGCAGUAGGGAAUAUUGGGCAAUGGGCGCAAGCCUGACCCAGCGACGCCGCGUGAGGGAUGAAGGUCUUCGGAUUGUAAACCUCUUUCAGUAGGGAAGAAGCGAAAGUGACGGUACCUAAAGAAGAAGCACCGGCUAACUAUGUGCCAGCAGCCGCGGUAAU